UUAUGUCCUCUAAUUAUCUUAAAGAGUGGAGGAGGAAACAGAGUAGAGUGGAAGCUCAGGUUUUGGGUCUUCAAUCCUUGUGGAAUUAAAGAGCCUCAAUGCAAAAAAAAAAAAAUGAAUGUGGACCCAACCGGUGUAACCCAGUCUAUAAUGGGUGGUGCCCAAUUGCCAUUGAGCAAUCUGCCAGCGAUGAAGAAUUGCCACAGGAGGAUCUUGAACCUCAGGUUUUGGGUUAUUCUUCGACAGCUGGGAGGUUAUGCAAGUACCGCGUGCCAGAGAAAAGGAUGAGGAUUUUCUGCGGAUCCGCGGAUUUACGUGUUUUUUGCCGUCGGAAGUAUCAUUUUCGUGAAUCGUGUAGAUAGAUCUGAUAGAAUGUCUAUUUGUGGACAUGCUUAUUGCCCGUGACAAGAGGAAAUAGUUGUUUAAUUUUUGCAAUUAAAAGGUUCUACUUCUUAUGCAAUUAAACAUUUUUGUUUUUUUUUUAUUCUGACAAAUGCCACAUUAAAGGCAUUUGUUAUUUUGUAGAUUAUAUUCAGUUAAAAAGUCCCAGUGAUAGUUACACACACAUCUGGGUGUGGUGAAAUUUGUCCUCUGCAUUUAACCCAUCCCUGUGUGAUUUUGAUCCAUCCCCUGGGGGAGAGGGGAGCAGUGAGCAGCAGCGGCGCCGCGCUCGGGAAUCAUUUGGUGAUCUAACCCCCCAAUUCCAACCCUUAAUGCUGAGUGCCAAGCAAGGAGGCAAUGGGUCCCAUUUUUAUAGUCUUUGGUAAGGUCUUAACUAGGCUGGAUGUAUUUUUUUUGUUUGCGUUGAUUUCUCCGACUGCCCGUAAAGGCACCACCGCGAUCAGGUUAAAAUGAAGAGAGGAAAGUGACGUGCAGACAUGUGAAAAAGGCGGCUCUGUAUGGGAGAGAAGUUGAAGAGGAAUAAAAACACCCUUGGAAACCAAAACUUGCCCCUCGUCGUGACUCGGAGCCGCAACAAAUGUUUCGGAUUUGUGUAGGGUACAUUGUGACAGCAAACGAGCAGGUGAUCGAGCAAGCCUUGUCUGAUACGAGAGCAUUGCGUUCGUAUGGAGCGUGUUUGAAGUGAACAGCAGAGACGAAAGGAACAAGGCAAAGUGUUGUGAAAUAAAAUAUUACCUGUAAUACGCAUUUUGUUAUUUGCUGAUUGUAUUAAACUAUCACAUUCAUUGUCAGUCAAGAAGAGAAGAGGACUAUUCGGAUCGGAUCCAUAGUGCGCAUGCGCAGUGAUACUGCCUCCCUAUGACGUCCAGUCCGCGAUGGAGAUUAAAAAACAAACAAUAUUUGACAAUAACACAGGUUUCUGUUCCUGUCUUUGGUAAUGUCACCCUGUCUUUUUGUUCCACGUCUUUGUCGGUCAGUCCUGUUGUUGGUUUUUUAGAGAGUUAUGUUAGUUAACCAAGUCUGUGUUUUGAGUUCCUCCAAUGAACCCUGGUCCAAGCUGCACUUGGUCGCCCUGCUCUUUUCCACACUCCAUCCGUGACAAGAUUUUCUUCAAAAAUUGUUGUACCAUGAUUUUCUUACAAAAAAUAAAUUAAUUAAAAUAAAAAAAGUUUUUUUUUUUUUAAAUUGUACCCAUGUAUAAUGCGCACCCCAGAUUUUAGGACAAUAAAUUAGUUAAAUUUUGCGCAUUAUACAUGGAAAAAAACGGUAUUCAUUGUUUGUGCCUUCUUCUUUUUAUUUAUUUUUUGUGUUGUUUACUUGUAUGUAUAUUGUGUACUAUGUCUUGUCACCGUGGGAUAGUGGGAACGUUAUUUCGAUUUCUUUGUGUGUCUUGGCAUGUGAAGAAAUUGACAAUAAAGCAGACUUUGACU